rnacentral:tRNA from 1 species
AAGAAAGACAUAAAGGUUAUGGGGCUGGCUUGAAACUAGCUAUUGGAGGUUCGAUUCCUUCCUUUCUU